AUAUAAAGUUGUUGCGGUUAAAAAGCUCGUAGUUGGAUCUCAGUUCCGGAUCGACGGUUCGCCUCUGGUGAUUUACUGUCGGUCCGAACAGCUCGUCGGCUCGCUCGGGGUGCUCUUCACCGAGUGUCCCGCGUGGCCGGCACGUUUACUUUGAAAAAAUUAGAGUGCUCAGAGCAGGCUUACCGCCUGAAUAGUUGUGCAUGGAAUAAUGGAAUAGGACCUCGGUUCUAUUUUGUUGGUUUUCGGAACCCGAGGUAAUGAUAAAUAGAGACGGACGGGGGCAUUCGUAUUGCGACGCUAGAGGUGAAAUUCUUGGACCGUCGCAAGACGAACUACUGUGAAAGCAUUUGCCAAGAACGUUCUUAUUAAUCAAGAACGAAAGUUAGAGGUUCGAAGGCGAUCAGAUACCGCCCUAGUUCUAACCAUAAACGAUGCUGACUAGUAAUCCGUCUGUGUUAAUCCCAUGACUAGACGGGCAACUUCCGGGAAACCAAAGUCUUUGAGUUCCGGGGGAAGUAUGGUUGCAAAGCUGAAACUUAAAGGAAUUGACGGAAGGGCACCACCAGGAGUGGAGCCUGCGGCUUAAUUUGACUCAACACGGGGAACCUCACCAGGCCCGGACACCGGAAGGAUUGACAGAUUGAGAGCUCUUUCUUGAUUCGGUGGGUGGUGGUGCAUGGCCGUUCUUAGUUGGUGGAGCGAUUUGUCUGGUUAAUUCCGAUAACGAACGAGACUUUAGCCUACUAACUAGUCGGAGGGUCUAAUACAAGUGCCCUCCGCAGCUUCUUAGAGGGAUAAGCGGCAUCUA
rnacentral:rRNA from 1 species